rnacentral:rRNA from 1 species
AUACGGAGGGUGCAAGCGUUACUCGGAAUCACUGGGCGUAAAGCGCGCGCAGGCGGGCUGAUAAGUUGGAUGUGAAAGCCUACGGCUCAACCGUAGAACUGCAUCCAAAACUGUCAGUCUAGAGUGCGGGAGAGGAAGAUGGAAUUAGUUGUGUAGGGGUAAAAUCCGUAGAGAUAACUAGGAAUACCAAAAGCGAAGGCAAUCUUCUGGAACACUACUGACGCUGAGGCGCGAAGGCGUGGGGAGCAAACAGGAUUAGAAACCCCGGUAGUCC